CAAAAAACUAGUUAAGAGAAUCAGAUUCGUGAAUUAUUAUACUAUGGAUUCAGGUAGACAAAAUAACAAACAGCAAGUGGACGUCACAGAGUGGGGUUUCUUCAGACGAAAGAGAGAAGGGAGAAGCACUGGCUGUAGGAGAUAAUCUUGUUCCUGCAGUUGCCUAUGGCUUUGGAAGCUC